UGCAGUCGAGCGCAGGAAGCCGUCUGAACCCUUCGGGGGGACGACGGUGGAAUGAGCGGCGGACGGGUGAGUAACACGUAAAGAACCUGCCCAUAGGUCUGGGAUAACCACGAGAAAUCGGGGCUAAUACCGGAUGUGUCAUCGGACCGCAUGGUCCGCUGAUGAAAGGCGCUUCGGCGUCGCCCAUGGAUGGCUUUGCGGUGCAUUAGCUAGUUGGUGGGGUAACGGCCCACCAAGGCGACGAUGCAUAGCCGACCUGAGAGGGUGAUCGGCCACACUGGGACUGAGACACGGCCCAGACUCCUACGGGAGGCAGCAGUAGGGAAUCUUCCACAAUGGACGAAAGUCUGAUGGAGCAACGCCGCGUGAACGAUGAAGGCUUUCGGGUCGUAAAGUUCUGUUGUAAGGGAAGAACAAGUGCCGCAGGCAAUGGCGGCACCUUGACGGUACCUUGCGAGAAAGCCACGGCUAACUACGUGCCAGCAGCCGCGGUAAUACGUAGGUGGCAAGCGUUGUCCGGAAUUAUUGGGCGUAAAGCGCGCGCAGGCGGCCUCUUAAGUCUGAUGUGAAAGCCCCCGGCUCAACCGGGGAGGGCCAUUGGAAACUGGGAGGCUUGAGUAUAGGAGAGAAGAGUGGAAUUCCACGUGUAGCGGUGAAAUGCGUAGAGAUGUGGAGGAACACCAGUGGCGAAGGCGACUCUUUGGCCUAUAACUGACGCUGAGGCGCGAAAGCGUGGGGAGCAAACAGGAU
rnacentral:rRNA from 1 species